rnacentral:tRNA from 1 species
GCCCUAAUAGCUUAAGCUGAGAGCAUAGCACUGAAGCUGCUAAGGUAAUGAGACGUCGUUUUAGAGCA